rnacentral:rRNA from 1 species
CUACGGGGUGCUGCAGUGAGGAAUAUUGCACAAUGGGGGGAACCCUGAUGCAGCAACGCCGCGUGGAGGAUGACGCAUUUCGGUGUGUAAACUCCUUUUAUAUGUCAAGAAAAUGACGGUAGCAUAUGAAUAAGCACCGGCUAACUCCGUGCCAGCAGCCGCGGUAAUACGGAGGGUGCAAGCGUUACUCGGAAUCACUGGGCGUAAAGGACGCGUAGGCGGGUUGGAAAGUCAGGCGUGAAAUCCUACAGCUUAACUGUAGAACUGCACUUGAAACUUCUAAUCUAGAGUAUGGGAGGGGGAGAUGGAAUUAGUGGUGUAGGGGUAAAAUCCGUAGAUAUCACUAGGAAUACCUAAAGCGAAGGCGACCUCCUGGAACAUUACUGACGCUAAGGCGUGAAAGCGUGGGGAGCAAACAGGAUUAGAUACCCUCGUAGUC